AACGAACGCUGGCGGCAUGCCUAACACAUGCAAGUCGAACGAGACCUUCGGGUCUAGUGGCGCACGGGUGCGUAACGCGUCGGAACCUUCCCUUAUGUUCGGAAUAACUCCCCGACAGGGGUGCCAAUACCGGAUAAUGUCUUCGGACCAAAGAUUUAUCGCCUUUGGAUGGGCCCGCGUUGGAUUCGCUAGUUGGUAGGGUAAAAGCCUACCAAGGCGACGAUCCAUAGCUGGUCUGAGAGGAUGAUCAGCCACACUGGGACUGAGACACGGCCCAGACUCCUACGGGAGGCAGCAGUGGGGAAUAUUGGACAGUGGGCGAAAGCCUGAUCGAGCAAUGCCGCGUGAGUGAUGAAGGCCUUAGGGUUGUAAAGCUCUUUUACCCGGGAAGAUAAUGACAGUACCGGGAGAAUAAGCCCCGGCUAACUCCGUG
rnacentral:rRNA from 1 species